rnacentral:rRNA from 1 species
GAGUUUGAUCUUGGCUCAGGAUGAACGCUAGCGGCAGGCUUAACACAUGCAAGUCGAGGGGCAGCACGGUGUAGCAAUACAUUGGUGGCGACCGGCGCACGGGUGCGUAACGCGUAUACAAUUUGCCUUAUACAGGGAGAUAGCCCGGAGAAAUUCGGAUUAAUAUCCCAUAACACUGCGCUAUGGCAUCAUAGUGCAUUUAAAGCUACGGCGGUAUAAGAUGAGUAUGCGUCUGAUUAGCUAGUUGGUGAGGUAACGGCUCACCAAGGCGACGAUCAGUAGGGGGCCUGAGAGGGUUAUCCCCCACACUGGAACUGAGACACGGUCCAGACUCCUACGGGAGGCAGCAGUGAGGAAUAUUGGUCAAUGGAGGCAACUCUGAACCAGCCAUGCCGCGUGUAGGAAGAAUGCCCUAUGGGUUGUAAAC